rnacentral:rRNA from 1 species
UACAGAGACUGCAAGCGUUAUUCGGAUUCACUGGGCGUAAAGGGUGCGCAGGCGGCCGUGUGUGUAAGGUGUGAAAUCCCGGGGCUCAACCCCGGAACUGCGCCUUAAACUACAUGGCUAGAGUAUUGGAGAGGGUAGUGGAAUUCACGGUGUAGCAGUGAAAUGCGUAGAUAUCGUGAGGAACACCAGAGGCGAAGGCGACUACCUGGACAAUUACUGACGCUCAGGCACGAAAGCGUGGGGAGCAAAAGGGAUUAGAUACCCCAGUAGUCC